rnacentral:rRNA from 1 species
CACCAGGAGUGGAGCCUGCGGCUUAAUUUGACUCAACACGGGAAAACUCACCCGGGCCGGACACUAUAAGGAUUGACAGAUUGAUAGCUCUUUCAUGAUUUAGUGGUUGGUGGUGCAUGGCCGUUCUUAGUUCGUGGAUAUGAUUUGUCUGGUUGAUUCCGAUAACGAGCGAGACUUUUAUGUUAUAUUAAAUAUUAUUAUUUUGUUUAUUUUAAUAUAAAUAAUUAAUAUUUUAAUAACAGAUUAAUAGUGUUUAACUAUUUGAGAGAGAGCGAUAACAGGUCUGUGA